UCGCGCUCGCGGGGACGUGUCACCCGCUCUGCACCUUAACUCUGGACGCGUGGGGAGGAAAAGAGACCCGUCGGCGGAGACCCGGAAGCUCUCUGUCUCGAGCUGUUAAGUGGUGUGCGUUUGCGCGGGGCAAGGUCCUUGUCCCCGACUCCUUGGGACCCACUUCCCUCCCGCCUCCGCUCUGCAGACGGGGCCUGAAGGCCCAGGAUGGGGAAAGUGAACCUCGUCACAGUAAUUUUAAGUAACUCCAUUUCUUGUCUAGAGAUGAUCCUCAUGUUUCCAUCAACCAUCAGAUCCAGAGCUUCCAGAAGUCACAAGCCGUAUUGGGAAUCAGAACACCUGGAUUCUACUCCUCUUGCUGUCCCUUGUAACCAGGGUUAAGUCAAUAGGCAUGAUGAGUGUUCUCAUGUCUCCAAUAUAGUUAGUUGAUUGCUCCCGGCCUGCCAACUCACACCUAAUGUACCCCUCCUUCCAAGUCCUGGAGAGGGUCAAGUAAAACAACGAAUGUAAGGUACUUUGCCGACUCCCUGUAGGCUACAAAACAUACAAUGGCAACAGAUGCUGAUUUCUGGAUGUAUAUUUCUGGAUGCACAAAACUCUUUCCAUUUAUUUUAUUUAAUCCUUAUAGCCACUUUCGAGAAGGUCCUGUAGGUGAGGAAAUGAGACUCAGAGGUGUUAGGUGACUUGCCCAAGGUCCCAGCUAAUAAGUGACAUAGAUAUGAUUUUAACUCAGUUACAUCUGACUGCAAAGCCCACUUUUAACCACCACACCCACUAUUUUGGUCAAAUGUAAGAAUCCACCUUGCAUCCUUGCAUGUAAUAGACACCAAUAAAAACUGGCGUCUAUUUAAUAAUUUAAUAA